AGAGUUUGAUCAUGGCUCAGGACGAACGCUGGCGGCGCGCUUAACACAUGCAAGUCGAGCGAGAACCAGGGCUUCGGCCCUGGGGACAGCGGCGAACGGGUGAGUAACACGUGGAUAACCUGCCCCCGACACCGGGAUAGCCCGGGGAAACUCGGAUUAAUACCGGAUAGCCCUUUCGGCUCUCGAGCCGGUCGGAAAAGGUAGCUUCGGCCUCUGGUCGAGGAUGGGUCCGCGGCGGAUUAGCUUGUUGGUGGGGUAAUGGCCUACCAAGGCACCGAUCCGUAGCUGGUCUGAGAGGACGAUCAGCCACACUGGGACUGAGACACGGCCCAGACUCCUACGGGAGGCAGCAGUGGGGAAUCUUGCGCAAUGGGCGAAAGCCUGACGCAGCGGCGCCGCGUGAGGGAGGAAGGCCUUCGGGUUGUAAACCUCUUUCAGGAGGGACGAAGCUACUCGGGUGAAUAGCCCAGAGGGUGACGGUACCUCCAGAAGAAGCCCCGGCUAACUACGUGCCAGCAGCCGCGGUA
rnacentral:rRNA from 1 species